rnacentral:lncRNA from 1 species
UUAAGUUAUUAAUGUGAAUGGUUCACGUGUAGCGGAGACUCCCUAUGGAUCUCCAUGGAUACUAGUAGACUGAUAAAAGAGAAAAUUUGUUACCUGAUGAUUGAAAUACAAAAGUAUGAUAUGUGUUAUGUUACAGAGUGUGCAUGAUCUUAUGAUGUUUAUGAUGUUAUUGUUUCUCAUAAGUUGUUUUCAUGAAUUUCACUGAGAUAAGUGGACAGUAAAAGUUUUUAUUAUUGAUAAAUGAGUUUGUUAUAAAUUAUGCU